rnacentral:siRNA from 1 species
GCGCGACCUAUACCCGGCCGUC